rnacentral:rRNA from 1 species
GACGAACGCUGGCGGCGUGCCUAAUACAUGCAAGUAGAACGCACAGUUUAUACCGUAGCUUGCUACACCAUAGACUGUGAGUUGCGAACGGGUGAGUAACGCGUAGGUAACCUGCCUGGUAGCGGGGGAUAACUAUUGGAAACGAUAGCUAAUACCGCAUAAUAUUGAUUAUUGCAUGAUAAUUAAUUGAAAGGUGCAAUUGCACCACUACCAGAUGGACCUGCGUUGUAUUAGCUAGUAGGUGAGGUAACGGCUCACCUAGGCGACGAUACAUAGCCGACCUGAGAGGGUGAUCGGCCACACUGGGACUGAGACACGGCCCAGACACCUACGGGAGGCAGCAGUAGGGAAUCUUCGGCAAUGGACGAAAGUCUGACCGAGCAACGCCGCGUGAGUGAAGAAGGUUUUCGGAUCGUAAAGCUCUGUUGUAAGAGAAGAACGGGUGUGAGAGUGGAAAGUUCACACUGUGACGGUAUCUUACCAGAAAGGGACGGCUAACUACGUG